UGUUAGUGGAAGCGUCUGGAAAGGCGCGCGAUACAGGGUGACAGCCCCGUACACAAAAGCGCAUGUGCUGUGAGCUCGAUGAGUAGGGCGGGACACGUGGUAUCCUGUCUGAAUAUGGGGGGACCAUCCUCCAAGGCUAAAUACUCCUGACUGACCGAUAGUGAACCAGUACCGUGAGGGAAAGGCGAAAAGAACCCCGGCGAGGGGAGUGAAAAAGAACCUGAAACCGUGUACGUACAAGCAGUGGGAGCACCCUUUGGGGUGUGACUGCGUACCUUUUGUAUAAUGGGUCAGCGACUUAUAUUCUGUAGCAAGGUUAACCGUAUAGGGGAGCCGGAGGGAAACCGAGUCUUAACCGGGCGUUAAGUUGCAGGGUAUAGACCCGAAACCCGGUGAUCUAGCCAUGGGCAGGUUGAAGGUUGGGUAACACUAACUGGAGGACCGAACCGACUAAUGUUGAAAAAUUAGCGGAUGACCUGUGGCUGGGGGUGAAAGGCCAAUCAAACCGGGAGAUAGCUGGUUCUCCCCGAAAGCUAUUUAGGUAGCGCCUCGUGAAUUCAUCUCCGGGGGUAGAGCACUGUUUCGGCUAGGGGGCCAUCCCGGCUUACCAACCCGAUGCAAACUGCGAAUACCGGAGAAUGUUAUCACGGGAGACACACGGCGGGUGCUAACGUCCGUCGUGAAGAGGGAAACAACCCAGACCGCCAGCUAAGGUCCCAAAGUCAUGGUUAAGUGGGAAACGAUGUGGGAAGGCCCAGACAGCCAGGAUGUUGGCUUAGAAGCAGCCAUCAUUUAAAGAAAGCGUAAUAGCUCACUGGUCGAGUCGGCCUGCGCGGAAGAUGUAACGGGGCUAAACCAUGCACCGAAGCUGCGGCAGCGACGCUGAUGCGUUGUUGGGUAGGGGAGCGUUCUGUAAGCCUGCGAAGGUGGCCUGUGAGGGUUGCUGGAGGUAUCAGAAGUGCGAAUGCUGACAUAAGUAACGAUAAAGCGGGUGAAAAGCCCGCUCGCCGGAAGACCAAGGGUUCCUGUCCAACGUUAAUCGGGGCAGGGUGAGUCGACCCCUAAGGCGAGGCCGAAAGGCGUAGUCGAUGGGAAACGGGUUAAUAUUCCCGUACUUGGUGUUACUGCGAAGGGGGGACGGAGAAGGCUAUGUUGGCCGGGCGACGGUU
rnacentral:rRNA from 1 species